UGGGGAAUCUUGCGCAAUGGGCGAAAGCCUGACGCAGCGACGCCGCGUGUGCGAUGAAGGUCUUCGGAUCGUAAAGCACUGUCGGAGGGGACGAAAUCUCGAUGGAUAAUACCUGUCGAGGAUGACGGUACCCUCAAAGGAAGCACCGGCUAACUCUGUGCCAGCAGCCGCGGUAAUACAGAGGGUGCUAGCGUUGUUCGGAAUUAUUGGGCGUAAAGCGCUUGUAGGCGGCGUGUUAAGUCCCGUGUGAAAUCCCUCGGCUCAACUGAGGAAGUGCGCGGGAAACUGGCAUGCUUGAGUCCUGGAGAGGGUCGCGGAAUUCCCGGUGUAGAGGUGAAAUUCGUAGAUAUCGGGAGGAACACCAGUGGCGAAGGCGGCGACCUGGACAGAGACUGACGCUGAGACGCGAAAGCGUGGGGAGCAAACAGGAUUAGAUACCCCCGUAGUCC
rnacentral:rRNA from 1 species